AAUGGUUUCUCCGUUACGAUAUUUAAUAAAAUAUAUCAUCAUAUUCAUAGAUUAUAUUAUAUGACAUUUGAACAAAAUAGUUCUAAAUAAAACUUAAAAACAUAAAAUUGAUGGUAUUUCUCUGUAACUAUUAUUAUAGUUGGACCUAAAAAAACAAGGGGUGCUAAAUUUGAACUCAUAGUUGGUAAAGAAUCUCUUGCGUCCCCCCAGUCGCAUCACUGCUAAUGACUGAUAGGAUACCACAUUGCAUGUUGCUUAAACAAAUUAUUCUAAUUUCUCUUUGAAGGCCGUAGAUUCAAACUCAGGAGACUGCAAGGAUUGUAGAUUGGUUUUUA